rnacentral:rRNA from 1 species
AGUGAACGCUGGCGGUAGGCCUAACACAUGCAAGUCGAACGGCAGCACAGUAAGAGCUUGCUCUUACGGGUGGCGAGUGGCGGACGGGUGAGGAAUACAUCGGAAUCUACUUUUUCGUGGGGGAUAACGUAGGGAAACUUACGCUAAUACCGCAUACGACCUACGGGUGAAAGCAGGGGAUCUUCGGACCUUGCGCGAUUGAAUGAGCCGAUGUCGGAUUAGCUAGUUGGCGGGGUAAAGGCCCACCAAGGCGACGAUCCGUAGCUGGUCUGAGAGGAUGAUCGGCCACACUGGAACUGAGACACGGUCCAGACUCCUACGGGAGGCAGCAGUGGGGAAUAUUGGACAAUGGGCGCAAGCCUGAUCCAGCCAUACCGCGUGGGUGAAGAAGGCCUUCGGGUUGUAAAGCCCUUUUGUUGGGAAAGAAAAGCAGCAGGUUAAUACCCCGCUGUUCUGACGGUACCCAAAGAAUAAGCACCGGCUAACUUCGUGC